AAGACUAUACUUUCAGGGAUCAUUUCUAUAGUUUUUGACUUGAGAAAUGUGUUUCUAAACUGUUUGGUCUCGCUAACCACGAUGAUGAGAUGUGAUAUUUCCAACUGAGUGCA
rnacentral:snoRNA from 1 species